rnacentral:rRNA from 1 species
UUUGGUGGUCAUAGCGCGAGCAAAACACCCGGCUCCAUUCCGAACCCGGCCGUUAAGUGCCGUCGCGCCGAUGGUACUGCGUCUCAAGACGUGGGAGAGUAGGUCACCGCCAAAC